rfam:Roseburia sp. CAG:309 genomic scaffold, scf286
UAAAACAGUAGAGGCGCGGACUUUAUCAGUAUUUUUCCUGAUGUGUCAGGUACACAAGUGAUGGCUCAAAGAAAGGAAAGUCUGCCGAAGGGGGCAGUGACCUGAUGCUGCUAACCCUGGGCAUAUAUCAAACAGGUAUAUGACUGUCAUCUUUAUGAUGGAGUGCUACAAAGUAU